AUUUCAACCAGGCACACCUCUUUCAUUUUAAGUUCAAAUAAAGUGGCAAUCAUUGCACGUCAAAGCAACACUUUAUGGCGUCUUCUACUGAAAAAAUCAACAUACCUUACAUUGCAUAUAAGAAAGAACUGGUUCCCAGAACUUCGGAUGUACCAAAACAGGUACUUCAGAUCUGACAAACAGACCAAAUGUACCCUCUUUUCAAAAUUUGCUGCAGUUUUUUAAAUAUUUAAAAUUAAAAGUCCAAAAGUGUUCUACAAUGAUCACCAGUCCUUCAGCUUUCAUUUGAUGUCAAAACUACCUAAAUAUCCUACAUAUUUUGAAAGUUACACUCAUGCGUAGGAACUAUUUUGCGUUAAAUAUGUACUACUUUCUGGUAUGUGCUUUCUGGCCGGGCCCGAAUUAGUGGUGUUACACCUU
rnacentral:lncRNA from 1 species